rnacentral:lncRNA from 1 species
AAAGAGAAAGAAAAGGAAUACUUAUAUUAUGUGUGUUCAAAACAUUUAUACAUAAUAAAACUAUAAUUUAAAUAUAUUAUAAAAGUAUUACUUGAAGUUAAUAAAUAAAACAAACUACGAAAAAGUUAAUAGAUACAACUUCAAUGGUACAAUUAACAUUUUGUUUGUAUUCAUUCUCGAGUUAAAUACACUCUCUCAUAGAAUACAAUUAAAAAUAUAUAUAUAUUUGAAGAAAAAUUGCGAUAAUAUUAAUUGUACGACGUAAUAACUUUCAUAUGGUGAAUUAAGAUAAUGACGACUCAAAUUAAUUACCACCAUAAUACAGCAGAGAAGUAAUGGUCCAAAAAUAGCACCUUCGACCCCCAGACAAAAUAUUCCACCGGCUAUGGAUAAACCGGUAAGAUAUGGAUGACCACCGCUAAAAUAAAAA